CCCUUAGAUGUUCUGAACCGCACGCGUGUUACACUGAUGCAUUCAACGAGCUUUACCUUGGCCGAGAGGCCUGGGAAAUCUUUUUAGCAUGCAUCGUGAUAGGGAUUGAUUAUUGCAAUUAUUAAUCAUGAACGAGGAAUUCCUAGUAAACGCAUUUCAUCAAAAUGCAUUGAUUACGUCCCUGCCCUUUGUACACACCGCCCGUCGCACCUACCGAUUGAAUGUUUCGGUGAAGAUUCCGGAUAGGACUUUUUUGAUUUAUUUCAAUUCUGUCUUAAAAGCUAUCUAAACCUCAACAUUUAGAGGAGGGUGAAGUCGUAACA
rnacentral:rRNA from 1 species